CAAAUAGGAAGAGCUGCGGUCUGCAGCGCCCAGCUUGAUCAACGCAGAAGACAGAGGCUUGGAGACCAGCAAAUAUCAAUUUACUGCUACCCUGGGGCACAAGGCAAGGAGCCACCUGUACACUCCACUGCCAACAAACCAGACUCAAGCUUCUACUCUGGCUGAGUUACUUCUUUGGAAAUUUGGAGACAGCAAGAGGUUGACAACAGAUUUGCUCCUUUUCUGGUGGAGGGAGGACAAGUGGCCUCUCUGGGACCAUAUCACAAACUACUAAAUCAAAAAAAUCUGGAAUUCCCGCAUUGCCCAGCUCACAGUGGAGAAAUAAAUAGACCACUGGAUCAGAAGGCAGAACAUAUGGAUUCUGGCCCAAAAUGGACAGUCUGUUAGCCAAUAUCUGGGUUCCAGUGUCAACAUUUGUAAAAUAGGGGCUAAUCUUUCACAUGACAGACACGAAAUGUUUUUGAAAAGAAUGAAUUAAGUGAUGGAGUCAAGUGAUCUGUAUGGCAUGAGAGAACAUCAUUCUUAUAGUCAUUAUUACAACUCAGCCCUAUAAGUCCUAUUACAAUUAAUCCUGUAAGAACCAUUAGGAGUACCCACCAUAAGCCUCAGAAAAUGCCUUAUAACUGUACUGCCAGCACCCCCACAGCCUUGCUGGUCAGUGGCAACAGCAAAGUCGAAAUGCAACAUACACGUGUGAUUUGUUGGGCAUCUGAAUUGUGGGUGAAGAUCAUUUUGUUAUAACAAGGUUUACACCAAAAAACAAUCAAUUUCACAAAUAAAUAAAACAUUUUUGAGAAUCAGAAGGCAGAACUACAUUUCAAGGUUGCUCUACUGAGCCUGAGACUCUACCCGGAGUUACUGGAUCUCAGCCUGUAAUGAAUGAAAAAUUGUCCUGCUCCUUCCUUGCUGAGGAUGACGCUGAAAGACCACACCAAAGGAUGCAUGAGCUGAUUCACGCAGAGCCAGAGGGAGGAGCAAAUUAUCCAGAAAUAGCACUGCAGUCUGGUAUGCCAGUUUUGCUCCAGGCUUCACAUAGGCCGUUCUGUCCACAGUGCCCUCAGACAGUGGCUCUCCUCUGUGCUACCCACUCCUCUGCAGUGACCACAGCUCACCUUUCUCAGCCCUAUAAAACUGGAACCUUGACCUGUAAAUGGCAGAGCCAGGACUGGAAUCCAGGUCCAUCUACUUCCAAAGGAUCAUAACACCUUCCCAGUCUAUAAUUGGCUCCCGCUACAAGGGCCCAGACCCUCAGGGAUCCAGUUAGAGUCAACAGGACUUUGUGUGCAAAAGGAACUAUAUCUUAUUCUCUUUAAUCAAUCCUUGCCUUCAGCCACCUGGCCUUUCUGUGUUUCCAGAAUGCGGGCUUGUACUUGGAAAGGGAAGCCCUAAGGCUGCCCCCAGUCUAAAGAGGGCAUAAGGCUAGACUGGCCUGGGUAGUUUCACUCUUUCGUCAGGUGAAGAACCUUUUUCCUUUCCUCAGAAGUUCCAACUCCAAGAAAAAAAAAUCGAUUGAAAACACGUUCAAAAAAAAACUUAGUUUUAUUUUUUUCGUCAGGAGAUGUUUUCAAAAAAAUUCUGCUUGUCUGAUUUUGUAUUAGAAAGUAGGAGCAUAAACAAUGAUUUUUACAAGCCAUAAUAAUCGGUAACGUUUAUAAGCACUUUUUUAGUUCAGGUGCCAUAAUUUAUGCUAAGUGAUUUCCAUAAAUUGUCUCAAAUAAAUAAAUAAUCUGCAUAACAUUCUUCAUCCCUAUUUUACAGAUGAGAGACUGAGGCUUAGAGUAAUUUACCCAAGAUCGCACAGUAGGGGGUGCAGCUGAAAUUCCAAAGCCCCCAUACCACUCACAGCCCCACACUGGCUAUAUAGGCUCCAGGAUUCCUUCUCCAGAACCUACUAAAUAGCCUUUUAAAAAUUCCCUUUCUGAGAUAAAAAAGAAAUGUGGUAUACACAUACAAUGGAAUAUUAUUCAGUCAUUGAAAGGAAUGAAGUUUUGAUACAUGCUAUAACGCAGAUAAACCUUGAAGAUAUUAUGCUAAGUAAGCCAGAUACAAAAGAAUAAAUGUUGUAUAAUUCCACUUAUAUAAAAUAUCUAAAAUAAGCAAAUUCAUAGAAAAAGUAGAAUAUAGGUUACCAGGGGAUGAGGGUAUGGGGGCAUGGGAAAUUACUUUUUAAUUGGUACAGUUUCUGUUGGAGUAAUAAAACACUUCUUGAAAAUAGUAUUGAUGGUUGUACAACAUUAUGAAUGUAAUUAAUGCCAAUGAAUUAUACAUUUAAAAA
rnacentral:lncRNA from 1 species